rnacentral:rRNA from 2 species
GUGACCUCAAAUCAGGUAGGACUACCCGCUGAACUUAAGCAUAUCAAUAAGCGGAGGAAAAGAAACUAACAAGGAUUCCCCUAGUAACUGCGAGUGAAGCGGGAAAAGCUCAAAUUUAAAAUCUGGCAGUCUUUGGCUGUCCGAGUUGUAAUCUAGAGAAGUGUUAUCCGCGCUGGACCGUGUACAAGUCUCCUGGAAUGGAGCGUCAUAGAGGGUGAGAAUCCCGUCUUUGACACGGACUGCCAGGGCUUUGUGAUGCGCUCUCAAAGAGUCGAGUUGUUUGGGAAUGCAGCUCAAAAUGGGUGGUAAAUUCCAUCUAAAGCUAAAUAUUGGCGAGAGACCGAUAGCGAACAAGUACCGUGAGGGAAAGAUGAAAAGAACUUUGGAAAGAGAGUUAAACAGUACGUGAAAUUGCUGAAAGGGAAACGCUUGAAGUCAGUCGCGUUGGUCAGGGAUCAACCUUGCUUUUGCUGGGUGUACUUCCUGGUUGACGGGUCAGCAUCAAUUUUGAUCAUUGGAAAAAGAUCAGGGGAAUGUGGCAUCCUUGGAUGUGUUAUAGCCCUUGGUUGUAUACAAUGGUUGGGAUUGAGGAGCUCAGCACGCCGCAAGGCCGGGUUUUACC